UCUUUGGUUAUCUAGCUGUAUGAGUGUUAC
rnacentral:miRNA from 1 species